rnacentral:rRNA from 1 species
UACGGGAGGCAGCAGUAGGGAAUCUUUCACAAUGGGCGAAAGCCUGAUGGAGCAACGCCGCGUGCAGGAUGAAGGCCUUCGGGUUGUAAACUGCUUUUAUAAGCGAGGAAUAUGACNGGUAGCUUAUGAAUAAGGACCGGCUAACUACGUGCCAGCAGCCGCCGGUAAAU